CAAAUGGGGAGCUGGUGAUAAACCGGCUGAGAGUAGGCUGUCAGCCUUGACCCUUUGAACCUGUCCGGAUAAUGCCGACGUAGGGAGAAAUAUAU
rnacentral:ncRNA from 1 species